AACGAACGCUGGCGGCAGGCCUAACACAUGCAAGUCGAACGGGACCUUCGGGUCUAGUGGCGGACGGGUGAGUAACGCGUGGGAACGUGCCCUUUGGUUCGGAAUAGCCUCGGGAAACUGGGAGUAAUACCGGAUACGGUCGGAAGACGAAAGAUUUAUCGCCGAAGGAUCGGCCCGCGUUGGAUUAGGUAGUUGGUGGGGUAAAGGCCUACCAAGCCGACGAUCCAUAGCUGGUUUGAGAGGAUGAUCAGCCACACUGGGACUGAGACACGGCCCAGACUCCUACGGGAGGCAGCAGUGGGGAAGUCUUAGACAAUGGGGGAAACCCGUACGAUCUAGCCAUGCCGCGUGAUCGAUGAAGGCCUUAGGGUU
rnacentral:rRNA from 1 species